GGCUAUAGUUCUUGGAUAUUUCCUUCUCUUGUAAAAGUACAGAGUUCCUGCAUCAUCGCAUGUCAUCGUCUCAGCCAACGUGGGCAGAAUAUGUCACUUCCAGGAAGAUGAGCCACUCACAGGAAUGGGACAUCUAGUUCUCCAUACAAAGCAAAUCCGAUGGCAAUUGUUUCCGAGGUGACCUCACAACUGACCCUUGUCCAUUCUUCAUUCCACGUACUAAUGGGCUUCCUCGCUUGUCAUCUAGCAGGGGCCUGGACUCAGCAAUCUGCAAAGUCCAAAUGCUUCUCUCACCUCUUGACGACAGAACCUUCAAACAAAAGCUGGAUGGACAUCAACUCUCACUGUUUCAGGCAAAAGACUUGGUCUCUGUGGGUGAACAUGCACCCUCUCCAGCGCCUGCAAGACUGCACCCAGUUACCUUCAAGAAUUCAGCACAGCCACAGGGAUGGGAAGUAUUUUCCUGAACACGGGAGGUCUGAGGUCAAAAUGAGAAAAAAAAAUAAAAGAAAUUCUGUAAAUAUCCAAGGAUCCUGCUGCUCUAACACUUUAAAGACUGAGCUACUGUUUCCUGGGGCUUUCCUGUCCGUGCCCCCAAGGGUGUUGUGUGAUGGACACCCUGACAGAUUUCACAAUCAAACACUGAGAAUGUGUGAUUGAGAAUUUCACUGAUCCUCGCACUAACCUUUUUUGCAGGUCGCAGUUUAACUUGCAAUUCCCUUGAUGUAGUAGCUUUAAGAUUUUGCUUUGGGCAGAUUUUCUUUGGCUGCUCUAGGUGGAUUUCUCAAUCCGCUCUGUGUCUUCUGAUGGAAAGUGCUGGAUUGAGCCCGACUGAUGGAAAAUGCUGGAUUGAGACUCGUUCCUUCACAGACAAGAAACAGCAAAGUCUCCCUUCCUUCCAUGCCCUCGCUUCUGCUCUGCAUCCUUCCUUUAGACAAGCCUGGGUGGGGAGUAAUAAGAACAUCAGCCUCUAAAGGCCAAUAUAUUUGCCCAAUCCCUCUCUGAAAUAGGAUGUGAUGGCUCCUCUUUGGAGCUGGAAGAUGAUUCAAUAAUUCUACCCCCAGUCUGAGUGGUAAAACUGCCUUUUUGGGAGUUUAAAGAGCCUUUUCUGAAGGUCUAGUGGAGUCCAGAUGUCUCAUAGCUUUUGUGAUCUUGUGAGCAUUUUUAGAAGGAAAAUCUGUGAGGGAUAGGGCUAUGAAUCAUCCGUCUAUCCUGCGUCCAUGAAGAAGAAAUAAAAACCCCAAUCCAAAAAGAAUCCA
rnacentral:lncRNA from 1 species